rnacentral:rRNA from 1 species
CCUACGGGUGGCAGCAGUGAGGAAUAUUGGUCAAUGGGCGCGAGCCUGAACCAGCCAAGUAGCGUGAAGGAUGACUGCCCUACGGGUUGUAAACUUCUUUUAUAAAGGAAUAAAGUGAGGCACGUGUGCCUUUUUGUAUGUACUUUAUGAAUAAAGCUCGGCUAAAUCCGUGCCAGCAGCCGCGGUUAUACGGAGGGUCCGGGCGUUUACCGGAUUUUAUGGGGUUAAAGGGAGCGUAGAUGGGUAGUUAAGUCAGUUGUUAAAGUUUGCGGCUCAACCGUAGAAUUGCAAUUGAUACUGGCAGUCUUGAGUACAGUAGAGGUAGGCGGAAUUCGUGGUGUAGCGGUGAAAUGCUUAGAUAUCACGAAGAACUCCGAUUGCGAAGGCAGCUUACUAAACUGCCACUGACAUUGAUGCUCGAAAGUGUGGGUAUCAAACAGGAUUAGAUACCCUUGUAGUC